rnacentral:rRNA from 1 species
AUUGAACGCUGGCGGCGGGCCUAACACAUGCAAGUCGAACGAGUGGCGGACGGGUGAGUAAUGACUGGGAAACUGCCUGAUGGAUGGGGAUAACUACUGGAAACGAUAGCUAAUACCGCAUACCAUGACAUGUGCCGCGAUGGGAUUAGCUAGUGUGUGGGGGAACGGCUCACCAGGGCGACGAUCCCUAGCUGGUUUGCGAGGCUGACCAGCCACACUGGAACUGAGACACGGUCCAGACUCCUACGGGAGGCAGCAGUGGGGAAUAGUGCACAAUGGGCGAAAGCCUGAUGCAGCCAUGCCGCGUGUAUGAAGAAGGCCUUCGGGUUGUAAAGUACUUUCGGCGGGGAGGCGUUACCCGCAGAAGAAGCACCGGCUAACUACGUGCCAGCAGCCGCGGUAAUAC